AAUGAACGUUGGCGGCGUGGAUUAGGCAUGCAAGUCGCGCGAGAACUUUCAGCAAUGGAAGGGAAAGCGGCGAAAGGGAGAGUAACGCGUGGAUUAUCUACCCUCGGGACCGGGAUAGCUGCGGGAAACUGCAGGUAAUACCGGAUGACAUCUUCGGAUCAAAUGGUGUGAUUCCGCCCGUGGAUGAGUCCGCGUCCUAUCAGCUAGUUGGUAAGGUAAUGGCUUACCAAGGCUUUGACGGGUACUGGGUGUGAGAGCACGACCCAGCUCACUGGGACUGAGACACUGCCCAGACUCCUACGGGAGGCAG
rnacentral:rRNA from 1 species